rnacentral:rRNA from 1 species
GACAAACGCUGGCGGCGUGCUUAACACAUGCAAGUCGAGCGGUAAGGCCCCUUCGGGGGUACACGAGCGGCGAACGGGUGAGUAACACGUGAGCAAUCUGCCCAUCACAUCGGGAUAACUCCGGGAAACCGAAGCUAAUACCGAAUACGACCACCUCCGGCAUCGGAUGGCGGUGGAAAGUUCCGGCGGUGAUGGAUGAGCUCGCGGCCUAUCAGCUUGUUGGUGGGGUAACGGCCCACCAAGGCUUCGACGGGUAGCCGGCCUGAGAGGGUGACCGGCCACACUGGGACUGAGACACGGCCCAGACUCCUACGGGAGGCAGCAGUGGGGAAUAUUGGACAAUGGGCGAAAGCCUGAUCCAGCAACGCCGCGUGAGGGAUGACGGCCUUCGGGUUGUAAACCUCUUUCAGCAGGGACGAAGCGCAAGUGACGGUACCUGCAGAAGAAGCACCGGCCAACUACGUG